GUGCUCACUUGACAGCUCAUAUACUAAAAUUGGAACAGUCCCAAGAUUAGCUUAGUCCCUGCGCAAGGAUGACACGCAGAUUUGUCAGGUGGUCCAUAUUUUG